AAUCUGAUCUUGAAGCUCUAAGUUGAAACCAUUGUUUCAUACCUGAGCUAUUUGAUCUAGAUUAGCACUCGGGGACCCUCCCUUAUGGAGCUAUUCCAUAGGACGAUGAUCAUGAUUCUAGGGCGGACCUGUGCCUUAGAGCCUAAAAAUGAAGUUUGAACUAGCUUAAUUAUGUUUUGAUUUCCGUACUCUCUUUCCAAGACAAUGUAACACCUUUGUUUAUAAAUAAAAUACAACUUGUAUGC
rnacentral:lncRNA from 1 species